rnacentral:rRNA from 1 species
CCUACGGGAGGCUGCAGUGGGGAAUAUUGCACAAUGGGGGAAACCCUGAUGCAGCGACGCCGCGUGAGUGAAGAAGUAUUUCGGUAUGUAAAGCCCUGUCAGCAGGGAAGAAAAUGACGGUACCUGACCAAGAAGCCCCGGUUAACUACGUGCCAGCAGCCGCUGUAAUACGUAGGGGGCCAGCGUUAACCGGAUUUAUUGGGUGUAAAGGGAGCGUAGACGGGAGGGCAAGUCUGGAGUGAAAGGCGGGGGCUCAACCCCCGGACUGCUCUGGAAACUGCCAGGCUGGAGUGCAGGAGAGGUAAGUGGAAUUCCUGGUGUAGCGGUGAAAUGCGUAGAUAUUAGGAGGAACACCAGUGGCGAAGGCGGCUUACUGGACUGUAACUGACGUUGAGGCUCGAAAGCGUGGGGAGCAAACAGGAUUAGAUACCCGAGUAGUC